rnacentral:rRNA from 1 species
UACGUAGGGUGCGAGCGUUAAUCGGAUUUACUGGGCGUAAAGCGUGCGCAGGCGGCCCGUUAAGACAGGUGUGAAAUCCCUGGGCUCAACCUAGGAAUUGCGCCUGUGACUGGCGGGCUCGAGUACGGUAGAGGGGGGUGGAAUUCCUGGUGUAGCAGUGAAAUGCGUAGAGAUCAGGAGGAACACCGAUGGCGAAGGCAGCCCCCUGGGCCUGUACUGACGCUCAUGCACGAAAGCGUGGGGAGCAAACAGG